UACAUGGGGUGCAAACGUUGCUCGGAAUUAUUGGGCGUAAAGCGCACGUAGGCGGUUCGUUAAGUCGGAUGUGAAAGCCCUCGGCUCAACUGAGGAAGUGCACCCGAAACUGGCGAGCUUGAGUACGAAAGAGGAUCGCGGAAUUCCCAGUGUAGAGGUGAAAUUCGUAGAUAUUGGGAAGAACACCGGUGGCGAAGGCGGCUCACUGGCUCAUUACUGACGCUCAGGCGCGAUAGCGUGGGGGAUCAAACAGG
rnacentral:rRNA from 1 species